CAGUGCCCGCGUCUGAGGCUGGAUCCCACGGCUGGCAUGAGGAACCGCACGGCGCCAGCUGCGGUGAAGAUAGCUACUGCUGUUAAACUGCACACUUCAAUGGCUGCUAAACUAGAUACAAUUCCAACUCGUAGGAAGUCAGGUAAGUAACCAUCAGGUGCCAUCCAAAGGUGUCCCUUAAGCACUGGACAUGGCUGCUUCUCCAGUCUGCCACCUUCAUGGCCUUGACUGAUGGUCAGUGCUCCAGAAUCCAAAGAAAGGAAUUAGCCCGAGUGGCUGAUCCAGGGACCGACUGAGCGGUUUGCCUAAUUCGGGAAAAGCAGGACUGAUGCAGACACUCACCUGUACAGGUUUUCCACCCUCCCCUUCAAUAAUGUACCUAAGGCCACCCCCUCCAUAGACAGCAGCCGUGUUCUUUGGAGAAUUUUAUUAAAAUAUAUCCAAGAAGUAAUCAAACAUUUUCUUAUGAGUCAGGAGAGAACUGAAGUGAGAAAAACAUCUGUACAGAGGACAGUGCUGUAAGUUUUUCUUUACAUGCUUUAUUUCAAUGUUUCACAGUUUAGUCAUUGUCUACAAAAAUAUAUUUCUGAAACUCUGA